rnacentral:lncRNA from 1 species
UGCCGGGUCAAUUUCUGAUACACCAGCCGAAAAUUCUAUUCGAGAUGAUGUUGUUGCUCGAAUUUUAGGUCCCGAGCGUCAUGGGUGAGUAAGGGGACUUGGACUUGGGGUUACACCAUCAAAAGUAGAUGGAAAUACACAAAGCAGUGAGAAAGUGAGAGAACUUGAGAGCAAAUUACAAACUCAGUCAGUAAGGAUGGAAGCACUCGAAGAAAAGGUUGAAG